GCACCGCAGCAAACUCCUUGUCCUGCAGCUCAUCGGGGACCUGUCAACAGGGCAGGAGAGCCAAGAUACCACAUGCUCCUGGGCCCUCUUCACUGCUGAGGCCAAAGAGGCAAGGGGCCUCAAGAGCAGUUCACUCACUCAGCAAAGCCCGACUGAGGAGCUAGUGGCGUGGCAGAAAACGCGCAGGCACCUCUCUAGGACCCAGCCCUCUCGCCGUGUGGCACAGUAUUCGGAUCAGGAGGACCCUGAUCGUAAGCACAAAGGGCCAAGAGGGAACACGUUAUUAUGGUACAAGCUGGGAAGAAGGCUCCUCACCGUAA